CCUAAUUCCUCAAUGCACUUUUCAAUCCAUCUAAAAAGCUACCACCACCUACUCCACUUUUUUCUGGUCUCUGCCGUCACCGUCGCCGUUCAAUCUGGCACUCGCUGCCAGUCUCGCCCAUCUCCCGGCGUCGCUAUUAGGCUCUUUCUCCCCGUCGUUCAUUCUCAGUAUCUCUCUUCUCUCUUUGAGUCGUCGCCAAUGCCGUGGUACUCCGUCUCCCCCUUCAUCCUCCACUUCCAGAGUUACAAUGGAGCCUCAGCCUCGGGAUGAUCAUGAGGGUGUUAGGAACGUGGAUGAUGACAACUUUAUAGAUGACACUGGGGUGGAAGCUGGUGGUUACUAUUGGCAGUGAUGAACCUCGUUCUCCUGGUUAUGCUCCCCAGGCAGAGGAAGGUGAAGAGGAUGAUGAAAUUAAAGAUCUUUUCAAGACAGGUUGUGAAAGAGGCAUUGGGUUCAAGUAGGGGGCAUGUAAGGGACUAUAUGCUUUACAUUGGGGCUCUGGACAGCAUACUUAGUUGAAUAUCAUUAUAAUUAUAUUCUAAUUUUUUUCUUUCCCAGUUAACUUCAUUUUCUUAAUCUCAGAUAAGAAAAAAGUGUGUUGUUUUCGUUAAAUAUACAAGUGAUACUUUGACUUUCCUUGAGAUGAAAUUUACCUAAGCUUGGCACACCUGAGUUGAUCUAAAGCUAGCUUCACCUUAUUUAUUUGUUUAUUUAUUUAUCCAUUUAUGUUGUUAAUGUGUUGCAAAGUAACUAAUGCUUUGUCUUUGGGCCAACGGUAGCGACUAAAUUGUUAUGAUUUUGUUUAGUUAUGGAGUUACAUUUAAAUUAUUGAUAUAUCAUUGAGUCUAACGAUUAGUUCUGCCUUACUUUUUUUACUAUAUUUGAGUUUCAGCUAUGGAUAUCUAAAUAAUGGUCAGCUGCUUAACAUUUUAGUUUUCUUAUGUUUGUUUAUUAUUUCAGACAACCAACUUGAAUGACAUUAUACUGUGCAUGUUGAUUUGUUUUGUUACUCUGUCGCUUGCAACAUGGCUGAGAAAUGUUUGUGAUUAAGAUUCAAAGCACCAUCUUCUAAACUCAAAUGAAAAUCAUAGUGUAAGAUUCAAGUGUGCUAAGAUGAAUGGAGAUUUCGAUA